ACUGCAAACCGCUCUGCCGCCUUUGCCCUUCUAUGGGCGGGGAGGAAAGUCCGGACAACACAGAGCACCGCACCACCUAACGGGUGGGGUCUUGACAACGGUCGAGACACAGAGAGGGUCACAGAAAAUAACCGCCGCGGGUCAUAGGCCCGAGGUAAGGGUGAAAACGUGCGGUAAGAGCGCACGGCGCUCCGGCGCAAGUCGGAGGGCGGAUAAACCUUGCGGGUUGAAAUGCCAAGUACACCUUGCGCUCCGCCUCGGCGGAGGGUGUGUGGCUCGCACACUGGCGCUCACCCGCCAGCAAGGGGGGUAGGCAGCGCAGAGCCGCGCCGCGAGGCGUCGGCCCAGAUAAAUGGCAGAGACCCGGAAACGGGAACAGAAUCCGGCUUACAGGUUUGCAGUGCUC
rnacentral:RNase_P_RNA from 1 species